rnacentral:rRNA from 1 species
AUUGAACGCUGGCGGCAGGCCUAACACAUGCAAGUCGAGCGGAUGAAGGGAGCUUGCUCCUGGAUUCAGCGGCGGACGGGUGAGUAAUGCCUAGGAAUCUGCCUGGUAGUGGGGGAUAACGUCCGGAAACGGGCGCUAAUACCGCAUACGUCCUGAGGGAGAAAGGGGGGGAUCUUUGGACCUCACGCUAUCAGAUGAGCCUAGGUCGGAUUAGCUAGUUGGUGGGGUAAAGGCCUACCAAGGCGACGAUCCGUAACUGGUCUGAGAGGAUGAUCAGUCACACUGGAACUGAGACACGGUCCAGACUCCUACGGGAGGCAGCAGUGGGGAAUAUUGGACAAUGGGCGAAAGCCUGAUCCAGCCAUGCCGCGUGUGUGAAGAAGGUCUUCGGAUUGUAAAGCACUUUAAGUUGGGAGGAAGGGCAGUAAGUUAAUACCUUGCUGUUUUGACGUUACCAACAGAAUAAGCACCGGCUAACUUCGUG